rnacentral:rRNA from 1 species
UACGGAGGGAGCUAGCGUUGUUCGGAAUUACUGGGCGUAAAGCGCGCGUAGGCGGCUUUGUAAGUUAGAGGUGAAAGCCCGGAGCUCAACUCCGGAAUUGCCUUUAAGACUGCAUCGCUAGAAUCAUGGAGAGGUUAGUGGAAUUCCGAGUGUAGAGGUGAAAUUCGUAGAUAUUCGGAAGAACACCAGUGGCGAAGGCGACUAACUGGACAUGUAUUGACGCUGAGGUGCGAAAGCGUGGGGAGCGAACAGG